rnacentral:RNase_P_RNA from 1 species
GGAGUCGGACAGGUCGUCGCCGCGGCCCGCAAGGGCCGGGGAGGAAAGUCCGGGCUCCGCAGGGCAGGGCGCUGGGUAAUGCCCAGGGGGAGUGAUCCCCGGACAGUGCCACAGAAAGCAAACCGCCGAUCCCGGUUCGCCGGGAGGUAAGGGUGAAACGGUGGGGUAAGAGCCCACCAGCGGCCGCGGCGACGCGGUCGGCUCGGCAAACCCCGCCCGGAGCAAGGCCAAAUAGGGGGGCUGACUGGCCCGGUCAAGGCCCCCGGGUAGGCUGCUGGAGGCGUCCGGUAACGGCCGCCCUAGAGGAAUGACGACCGCCCCGCAAGGGGAACAGAACCCGGCUUAUCGUCCGGCUCCCGUU